CCCUUAGACGUUCUGGGCCGCACGCGCGCUACACUGACCAGUGCAACAAGCAUCCGUCCUUGGCCGACAGGCCCGGGCAAUCUUUGAACGCUGGUCGUGAUGGGGAUAGACUUUUGCAAUUUUUGGUCUUCAACGAGGAAUUCCUAGUAAACGCAAGUCAUCAACUUGCAUUGAUUACGUCCCUGCCCUUUGUACACACCGCCCGUCGCACCUACCGAUUGAAUGUUUCGGUGAAGAUUCCGGAUAGGACUUUUUUGAUUUAUUUCAAUUUUGUCUUAAAAGCUAUCUAAACCUCAACAUUUAGAGGAAGGUGAAGUCGUAACA
rnacentral:rRNA from 1 species